GAUGAACGCUGGCGGCGUGCCUAAUACAUGCAAGUCGAGCGAACGGACGAGAAGCUUGCUUCUCUGAUGUUAGCGGCGGACGGGUGAGUAACACGUGGAUAACCUACCUAUAAGACUGGGAUAACUUCGGGAAACCGGAGCUACUACCGGAUGAUAUUUUGAACCGCAUGGUUCAAAAGUGAAAGACAGUCUUGCUGUCACUUAUAGAUGGAUCCGCGCUGCAUUAGCUAGUUGGUAAGGUAACGGCUUACCAAGGCAACGAUGCAUAGCCGACCUGAGAGGGUGAUCGGCCACACUGGAACUGAGACACGGUCCAGACUCCUACGGGAGGCAGCAGUAGGGAAUCUUCCGCAAUGGGCGAAAGCCUGACGGAGCAACGCCGCGUGAGUGAUGAAGGUCUUCGGAUCGUAAAACUCUGUUAUUAGGGAAGAACAUAUGUGUAAGUAACUGUGCCCAUCUUGACGGUACCUAAUCAGAAAGCCCCGGCUAACUACGUG
rnacentral:rRNA from 1 species